GGCUGGUCUGAGCGCAGUGGUGUUCACAAAUAAUUGAUCACAACCAGUUACAGAUUCUUUUGUUCCUUUUCUCUACUCCUACUACUUCACUCGACUAGCCUAAA
rnacentral:Y_RNA from 1 species